UACGAAGGGUGCAAGCGUUAAUCGGAAUUACUGGGCGUAAAGCGUGCGUAGGCGGUUUGUUAAGUCUGUUGUGAAAUCCCCGGGCUCAACCUGGGAAUGGCAAUGGAUACUGGCAGGCUAGAGUGUGUCAGAGGAUGGUGGAAUUCCCGGUGUAGCGGGUGAAAUGCGUAGAGAUCGGGAGGAACAUCAGUGGCGAAGGCGGCCAUCUGGGACAACACUGACGCUGAGGCACGAAAGCGUGGGGAGCAAACAGG
rnacentral:rRNA from 1 species